GUGCAUUCUGGGGUCAUUUUGGCUAUUAGCUGCUUGCCUGGCAUUUGAGCUUGGUGGGUGGCUGUUAGUUGGGUGAUUUUGGGGAUGUCUACCGUAAAGGUGCAUGAGUGGUGUUUGGUUUGUUACGGGUGGUUGGCUCUUUGCUUGUGCAACAACUUCCACCUGGCAUACCUCUUCAGUCUUGUGUCAAUGCUUGUAUCGCAUUGAAUGCACGGUGGGUUUCUUGUGUUGCGUACCUAAUUGAUGGUAUCAUUCGAAGAAUUGAUGUCCAUUUUCGUCUUGUGUCGCACGUGUGAUGUGAGAUGAACCUUGAAGCAGCCUUUGUGUUCCACUCUUUUGAUGCACACACAUUGAUUUUGUGGCCCAUUGAGUGUUGCUUGGUCUCAUGGAUAUGGAACCUGAUGUGGGCAUGAGGUCUUUUACUAGUUCCUUGUUUGCCCUAUUUUAGUUUUUCUAAAACGAUUGUCUAUCAUGUUUUAAUGUGGUAGGCUAUAUCGAAUAUGAAUGCUACCUGGUUGAUCCUGCCAGUAGUCAUAUGCUUGUCUCAAAGAUUAAGCCAU
rnacentral:misc_RNA from 1 species